GAUGAAGAACGUAGCGAAAUGCGAUAAGUAAUGUGAAUUGCAGAAUUCAGUGAAUCAUCGAAUCUUUGAACGCACAUUGCGCCCGCCAGUAUUCUGGCGGGCAUGCCUGUUCGAGCGUCAUUUCAACCAUCAAGCCCCCGGCUUGUGUUGGGGACCUGCGGCUGCCGCAGGCCCUGAAAACCAGUGGCGGGCUCGCUAGUCACUCCGAGCGUAGUAAUACAUCUCGCUCAGGGCGUGCUGCGGGUUCCGGCCGUUAAAAAGCCUUAUUUACCCAAGGUUGACCUCGGAUCAGGUAGGAAGACCCGCUGAACUUAAGCAUAUCAAUAAGCGGAAGA
rnacentral:misc_RNA from 1 species